rnacentral:snoRNA from 1 species
GCAUGGGUUUGGAUUGAUGGCAGGUCUGAUCCCAUGGGCCUCUCAGUGUCCCAUGCCAAAGCACACUGUAACCCGAACCAUUGCCUGCCUUUACCCCGUGGGCUUCAGGCACUGAAGCGGGUUGCACAGUG